GAUGAACGCUAGCUACAGGCUUAACACAUGCAAGUCGAGGGGCAGCAUGGUCUUAGCUUGCUAAGGCCGAUGGCGACCGGCGCACGGGUGAGUAACACGUAUCCAACCUGCCGUCUACUCUUGGACAGCCUUCUGAAAGGAAGAUUAAUACAAGAUGGCAUCAUGAGUUCACAUGUUCACAUGAUUAAAGGUAUUCCGGUAGACGAUGGGGAUGCGUUCCAUUAGAUAGUAGGCGGGGUAACGGCCCACCUAGUCUUCGAUGGAUAGGGGUUCUGAGAGGAAGGUCCCCCACAUUGGAACUGAGACACGGUCCAAACUCCUACGGGGGGCAGCAGUGAGGAAUAUUGGUCAAUGGGCGAGAGCCUGAACCAGCCAAGUAGCGUGAAGGAUGACUGCCCUAUGGGUUGUAAACUUCUUUUAGAAAGGAAUAAAGUCGGGUAUGUAUACCCGUUUGCAUGUACUUUAUGAAUAAGGAUCGGCUAACUCCGUG
rnacentral:rRNA from 1 species